rnacentral:rRNA from 1 species
CUCCCUGACUCCUUGAGAGUCCUGAUGGACGUUGAAGACGACGACGUUGAUAGGUCGGGUGUGUAAGCGCAGCGAUGCGUUGAGCUAACCGGUACUAAUGAACCGUGAGGCUUAACCUUACAACGCCGAAGGUGUUUUG